UACGUAGGGUGCAAGCGUUGUCCGGAAUUAUUGGGCGUAAAGAGCUCGUAGGCGGUUUGUCGCGUCGGCUGUGAAAGCCCGGAGCUCAACUCCGGGUCUGCAGUCGAUACGGGCAGACUCGAGUGUUGCAGGGGAGACUGGAAUUCCUGGUGUAGCGGUGAAAUGCGCAGAUAUCAGGAGGAACACCGGUGGCGAAGGCGGCGACCUGGGUAGAUACUGACGCUGAGGCGCGAAAGCGUGGGGAGCAAACAGG
rnacentral:rRNA from 1 species